rnacentral:antisense_RNA from 1 species
CUUCACCGAGCCCAGCCACAGCGGCUUGCCACCGGGGCGGUCCUGGCCGUACGUGGCCAUCAGGGCCUGCGCCUC